rnacentral:rRNA from 1 species
AAGGGCACCACAAGAACGCGUGGAGCAUGUGGCUUAAUUUGACUCAACGCGGGAAAUCUUACCGGGUCCGGACACACUGAGGAUUGACAGGCAAUAUUAAUUUCGUAGUUUACUACGUUAUUAUGUUAAAUAUGCUAGUCCUUUCAUGAUUAUGUGAUAGGUGGUGCAUGGCCGUUCUUAGUUCGUGGAGUGAUCUGUCUGCUUAAUUGCGUUUCACUAAGGGCCUAUAAAUUUACGUGUGUUGCGGCACUUUGACCCCUCUGUUUAUUCAGAGCGCGCGUCUUAGUUUGCUUAGCUCACACAAUUAGGUCCUGAAAGCAACGAACGUGACCGCAACCUCUUGUUGCCUUUAUACCAAACAUGAUAUACUCUUUCUUAAGAGUACUUCAUGAAAAAAGGCUUUUUAAACUAGAGGGACCGCUGUUACUUUCUUAAACCAGAGGAAGGUUGCGGCAAUAACAGGUCUGUGAUGCCCUUAGAUGUUCCGGGCUGCACACGUGCUACAAUGAUUAUUGCAGUGAGCAUCUCAUUUUUUACACACCGCAUACGCGAGUCCAUUUAUUCACUCUCGGGUGCUUUAAAUGUGUAUCUCUGCGAGCGGUAAAGCCUGCUUCGAAAGUAAGUGGGUAAUCAAUUAGAAGUAAUGAUUUCCUUUUUUUAGCACACAUAUAUACGGCGUUUAUACCCGGGCUGCCUUGUUGUAGCUUUUGUGCGUAUAGAUGUUUUUUCCGUAUGUGCGAUUGUCAAUUCAUGGUGGGGACAGACCAUUGUUAAUUGUUGGUCUCGGUCUUAACUAGGAAUGCCUUGUACGGGUCUUUGGUUCAACAAACCACCCGGAAUACGUCCCUGCCCUUUGUACACACCGCCCGUCGCUCUUACCGAUGGACUUCUCUGUGAGUUUGAGGGACUGGGAACGCUUGAUUUUAUUAUCUGAGCACACCUAUGGAAACUUAAACGAACAGUGUGGUCUAAAGGGAAGAGAAGUCGAACAAGGCA